GACGAACGCGGCGGCGUGCUUAACACAUGCAAGUCGAACGAAGAGCGAUGGAAGCUUGCUUCUAUCAAUCUUAGUGGCGAACGGGUGAGUAACGCGUAAUCAACCUGCCCUUCAGAGGGGGACAACAGUUGGAAACGACUGCUAAUACCGCAUACGAUCUAAUCUCGGCAUCGAGGAUAGAUGAAAGGUGGCCUCUACAUGUAAGCUAUCACUGAAGGAGGGGAUUGCGUCUGAUUAGCUAGUUGGAGGGGUAACGGCCCACCAAGGCGAUGAUCAGUAGCCGGUCUGAGAGGAUGAACGGCCACAUUGGGACUGAGACACGGCCCAGACUCCUACGGGAGGCAGCAGUGGGGAAUCUUCCGCAAUGGACGAAAGUCUGACGGAGCAACGCCGCGUGAGUGAUGACGGCCUUCGGGUUGUAAAGCUCUGUUAAUCGGGACGAAAGGCCUUCUUGCGAAUAGUGAGAAGGAUUGACGGUACCGGAAUAA
rnacentral:rRNA from 1 species